rnacentral:rRNA from 1 species
UACGUAGGGUGCAAGCGUUAAUCGGAAUUACUGGGCGUAAAGCGUGCGCAGGCGGUUAUGCAAGACAGAGGUGAAAAUCCCCCGGGCGUCAACCUCGGGAACGUAGCCUUUGUGACUGCAUAGCUAGAGUACGGUAGAGGGGGAGUGGAAGUUCCGCGUGUAGCAGUGAAAUGCGUAGAUAUGCGGAGGAACACCGAUGGCGAAGGCGAAUCCCC